rnacentral:rRNA from 1 species
CAUGGGGGCGGCUUACACAUGCAGUCGAGCGAGACCUUCGGGUCUAGCGGCGGACGGGUGAGUAACGCGUGGGAACGUGCCCUUUGCUACGGAAUAGUCCCGGGAAACUGGGUUUAAUACCGUAUGUGCCCUUCGGGGGAAAGAUUUAUCGGCAAAGGAUCGGCCCGCGUUGGAUUAGGUAGUUGGUGGGGUAAUGGCCUACCAAGCCGACGAUCCAUAGCUGGUUUGAGAGGAUGAUCAGCCACACUGGGACUGAGACACGGCCCAGACUCCUACGGGAGGCAGCAGUGGGGAAUCUUAGACAAUGGGGGCAACCCUGAUCUAGCCAUGCCGCGUGAGUGAUGAAGGCCUUAGGGUUGUAAAGCUCUUUCAGCUGGGAAGAUAAUGACGGUACCAGCAGAAGAAGCCCCGGCUAACUCCGUGCCAGCAGCCGCGGUAAUACGGAGGGGGCUAGCGUUGUUCGGAAUUACUGGGCGUAAAGCGCACGUAGGCGGACUGGAAAGUUGGGGGUGAAAUCCCGGGGCUCAACCUCGGAACUGCCUUCAAAACUAUCAGUCUGGAGUUCGAGAGAGGUGAGUGGAAUACCGAGUGUAGAGGUGAAAUUCGUAGAUAUUCGGUGGAACACCAGUGGCGAAGGCGGCUCACUGGCUCGAUACUGAC